AUUGAACGCUAGCGGGAUGCUUUACACAUGCAAGUCGAACGAGUGGCGGACGGGUGAGUAAUAUAUCGGAACGUGCCCAGUAGCGGGGAAAACUUCUCGAAAGAGUGGCUAAUACCGCCUACUUAUGGGGCCGGCGGUAUCGGAUUAGCUAGGUGGUGGGGUAAAGGCUCACCAAGGCAACGAACCGUAGCUGGUUUGAGAGGACGACCAGCCACACUGGGACUGAGACACGGCCCAGACUCCUACGGGAGGCAGCAGUGGGGAAUUUUGGACAAUGGGGGAAACCCUGAUCCAGCCAUCCCGCGUGUAUGAGAAGGCCUUCGGGUUGUAAAGUACUUUUGGCAGAGAAGCGGUAUCUGCAGAAUAAGCACCGGCUAACUACGUGCCAGCAGCCGCGGUAAUAC
rnacentral:rRNA from 1 species